GUAGGGAAUUUUCGGCAAUGGAGGAAAUUUUGACCGAGCAACGCCGCGUGAACGACGAAGUACUUUGGUAUGUAAAGUUCUUUUAUCAAGGAAGAAAAGCAAGUGGUGAACCAUUUGUUUGCCGGUACUUGAUGAAUAAGCCCCGGCUAAUUAUGUGCCAGCAGCCGCGGUAAGACAUAAGGGGCAAGUGUUAUCCGGAAUUAUUGGGCGUAAAGGGUGCGUAGGCGGUCUAGUAAGUCAGUGGUGUAAUGGCAACGCUCAACGUUGUCCGGCUAUUGAAACUGCUAAACUUGAGUUAGAUAGAGGCGAGUGGAAUUCCAUGUGUAGCGGUAAAAUGCGUAAAUAUAUGGAGGAACACCAGAGGCGUAGGCGGCUCGCUGGGUCUUAACUGACGCUGAGGCACGAAAGCGUGGGGAGCAAACAGGAUUAGAUACCCUGGUAGUCCACGCCGUAAACGAUGAGUACUAAGUGUCGGGUUAAACCGGUACUGAAGUUAACACAUUAAGUACUCCGCCUGAGUAGUACGUACGCAAGUAUGAAACUUAAAGGAAUUGACGGGACUCCGCACAAGCGGUGGAUCAUGUUGUUUAAUUCGAAGAUACCCGAAAAACCUUACCAGGUCUUGACAUGUUUUUGCGAAACGGUAGUAAUAUCGUGGAGGUUAUCAGAAACACAGGUGGUGCAUGGUUGUCGUCAGCUCGUGUCGUGAGAUGUUAGGUUAAGUCCUAAAACGAGCGAAACCCUUAUCGUUAGUUGCCAGCACGUUAUGGUGGGGACUUUAACGAGACUGCCAGUGAUAAAUUGGAGGAAGGUGAGGAUCACGUCAAAUCAGCAUGCCCCUUAUGACCUGGGCUACAAACGUGAUACAAUGGCUGUUACAAAGGGUAGCUGAAACGCAAGUUCUUGGCCAAUCCCCAAAAACAGUCUCAGUCCGGAUUGAAGUCUGCAACUCGACUUCAUGAAGUUGGAAUCGCUAGUAAUCGCGAAUCAGCAUGUCGCGGUGAAUACGUUCUCGGGGUUUGUACACACCGCCCGUCAAACCACGAAAGUUGGCAAUACCCCAAAACGGUAGCCUAACUCGUUUAUCGAGAGGGCGCUGUCUAAGGUAGGGUCGAUGAUUGGGGUUAAGUCGUAACAAGGUAUCCCUACCGGAAGGUGGGGAUGGAUCACCUCCUUUCUAAGGAAACCAAUAAAAUCAAUCAUCUUCAGUUUUGAAAGACUUAGGAUAACUAAGUUUUUCUUCGUGACUUCACGAAGGGCCUAUAGCUCAGUUGGUUAGAGCACACGCCUGAUAAGCGUGAGGUCGGUGGUUCAAGUCCAUUUAGGCCCACCAGAGUUAUAGGUGUCGUAAGAACACAAAUUCUUUGAAAAUUAGGUAAAUAAUAGUUAUUUUUCCGGAACAUUAAAGGAAAUAAGAGCGCACAGUGGAUGCCUAGGCACCAAGAG
rnacentral:rRNA from 1 species